rnacentral:ncRNA from 2 species
ACAAAUGAAUGAGGGAGCUCGUGAGCGGGCUGAGAGGAAGUCAUCCAACUUCGACCUUUAUAACCUGAUUUGGGUAAUGCCAACGUAGGGAAUAUACGCGAUGACAUG